rnacentral:rRNA from 1 species
GACGUAGGGCGCGAGCGUUGUCCGGAUUUAUUGGGCGUAAAGAGCUCAUAGGCGGCUUGUUGCGUCAGCUGUGAAAACCCGCAGCUCAACUGUGGGCUUGCAGCUGAUACGGGCAGGCUUGAGUUCGGUAGGGGAGACUGGAAUUCCUGGUGUAGCGGUGAAAUGCGCAGAUAUCAGGAGGAACACCGGUGGCGAAGGCGGGUCUCUGGGCCGAUACUGACGCUGAGGAGCGAAAGCGUGGGGAGCGAACAGG